UACGUAGGGUGCAAGCGUUAAUCGGAAUUACUGGGCGUAAAGCGUGCGCAGGCGGUUUUGUAAGUCUGACGUGAAAUCCCCGGGCUCAACCUGGGAAUUGCGUUGGAGACUGCAAGGCUAGAAUCUGGCAGAGGGGGGGUAGAAUUCCACGUGUAGCAGUGAAAUGCGUAGAGAUGUGGAGGAACACCGAUGGCGAAGGCAGCCCCCUGGGUCAAGAUUGACGCUCAUGCACGAAAGGCGUGGGGAGCAAACAGG
rnacentral:rRNA from 1 species